rnacentral:misc_RNA from 1 species
AACGCAUAUUGCGCCCCUUAGUAUUCCUUGGGGCACACCUGUUCGAGCGUCAUUUCACCAAUCAAGCCUCGCUUGGUGUUGGGCGAUGCGCACGUCGCACGCCUCAAAUGCCCCGGCCGGGCAGUCUCUCACCCGGCGUCGUGGAAACAUACCGCUACGGAGACGAGACCUGCCCGCGCCGCAGAAUAACCCAUAACAAAGGUUGACCUCGGAUCAGGUGGGGAUACCCGCUGAACUUAA